rnacentral:ncRNA from 1 species
GUAAUUUGAUUCUGGUUAGGUUAAUUGAUUAGUAGAUAGUUUUUACAUGUAAGUUUUGGCGAGAUUGUGAAAUAUAUCUUAAUGGUGUAUUUUAUUAAUUUAAUUAUACGCAGUUUUUAUUUUUAAUGUUAUUUAUUAAUAUAUGAUUUAUUUAUUUUACUUAAUAACUAGUUAAGAUUGUGCCAGCAACUGCGGUUACACAUUCAGUUAGAGUUAAUUUUUUUGAGUGAUUAGUAUUAAAAUUUAAAAUACAUGAUUGUUAUUUUGGCAUUAUUUAGUUACAAUUUAAGGUGAAAUUUAUUUGUAGUUAUAUAAUUUUGUUUGGUUAUUUAAUUAUAUGAAACUCUUGGUUUAGACUAGGAUUAGAUACCCUAUUAUUGAGAGUGUAAAAUUUUUGCUUAUAUUAUUAUUAGUUUUGAUCUUUAAAUUAAAAGAAUUUGACGGUAAUUAUAUCAUUUCAGAGGAACCUGUCCUGUAAUCGAUAAUCCACGUUAAAUUUUACCUUGAUUAAAUAUAUUGUUUGUAUAUCUCUGUCUAUUGAAUGUUUUAUGAGAAGUUUAUUUUCGAUGGUGUUUUGUUAAUUUUAUGUCAGGUCAAGGUGCAGCUAUAUUAAGGGUAGAGAUGGGUUACAUUAAUGUUUGGAAUUAUGGAUUCUUAUUUUUAUUGAUAAGAUGAAAUAGGAUUUGAUUGUAAUAUUUAUUAUAUUUUAAUUAUGAUAUUUGCUCUGUAUUAAGUACACAUCGCCCGUCGCUCUCAUUGUUUAAGAUGAGAUAAGUCGUAACAAAGUAGGCCUAUCGGAAGGUGGGCCUGGAAUUAUUU